rnacentral:lncRNA from 1 species
CUGUGCCGAGGAGCUCCUUGCGCUCAUUUCAUUUUCUGCCGGUCUUCCGUUGGGAGUGGUGUUGCGUGUCCGACCAUGGUUCGACGGCGCAUGCUUCCAUGCUUGGGGAGGGUCCCGUGCUGCGCUGUCAUUGGUAGUAUCUUCUCUGCCUGGCCUCUUCAGAGUUUCCAGUGGCUCCGUCACGACGGGCCGGGUGUGGUCCAGAAGUGGUUUUGUCUGGCUGACUCCCUCCCAGUCAAUAUUCGCGUCACUAUUGUGGGCUUCAACUGCAAGCAUCGUGUUUGGGUCCGCUCGACGUGUAUCUCUUCUGUGCUCUUGCAUCCUGGUGCCUGUCGUCCGCGUCGUGGCGCCGAUGUGUGCAGACUUUCGCUCUGAGUUGUUGUAAGAUAUAGAUGUAAGAUGAGGAGGAGGACCUGGGAGACG